CAACACUACUAUAUAACAAAUAAUUUGAGCAAUGACUACCAAAGAAGGAUAACCGAUUGGACUGGGGAGGAGUGGAACAUUGGCAGCACACUACCGUCCAAUCGGUUUUGUACAUACGACAAUUACUGGUUUUAAUUGGUCAACUUAGAGUCAUCUAACAGUGAUAGCAGGAAGCAGGACGAUCUACCUAACGACCUAACAACUGUGGAACUUUUGUUUUCUUUUGAGAGACAUUGAGAGACAUUUUGGAGUUUUUUUAGAGACACUUUGGGAGUUUUUUUAGUCAAACUGUAAUCAUGAGUCUUCGUGAGAUACCUGUGUUAGACGAUAGCGCUGACUACAGCACGUGGAAGAAAAAAGUGCUUAUAUGGCAGCUUGGAACCGGAGCAUCAGUGAAACAGCAAGCAAGUAAACUUAUCAUGAACAUGAAUGGGAAACCACAGGAGGUUUCUAUAAACAUACCAAUAAAGGUUCUAGGAGCUGAAGAUGGAGUUGAUAAACUCAUUGCUGAACUGGACAAACUGUACAAGAAGGACGGUACUCAGUCUUUAUUUAAGGCAAUAGACGACUUUGAGAGAUAUAGAAGAGGAGAUGGAGAAGAUAUCGACAACUACAUCUUGGAAUUCCAGCGGAGGUAUCAGAUCCUUAAACAGCUGAGAGAAAGCAAAGAGCUCUAUGACGAUAUGAUAUUAGCAUAUAGACUGUUAAAUCAGGCUAGCCUAAACGAUGAACAGGCCAGAUU